GUGCUUGCUUUGGCAGCACGUACACUAAAAUUGGAACAAUACAGAGAUUAGCAUGGGCCCUGUGCAAAGAUGGCAUGCAGAAUCGUGAAGUCGUCCAUAUUUUU
rnacentral:snRNA from 1 species